UACGGAGGGGGCUAGCGUUGUUCGGAAUUACUGGGCGUAAAGCGCACGUAGGCGGCGAUUUAAGUCAGAGGUGAAAGCCCGGGGCUCAACCCCGGAAUAGCCUUUGAGACUGGAUUGCUAGAAUCUUGGAGAGGCGAGUGGAAUUCCGAGUGUAGAGGUGAAAUUCGUAGAUAUUCGGAAGAACACCAGUGGCGAAGGCGGCUCGCUGGGACAAGUAUUGACGCUGAGGUGCGAAAGCGUGGGGAGCAAACAGG
rnacentral:rRNA from 1 species